rnacentral:lncRNA from 1 species
AUGUCUCUUUCACUACAUCUUUAAAAGAUUCAUGCUUUAUCGAAAAAUUAAGAAAUCUGAAAGACUUCUUAACUGGGGAAUUAUUUAUAUUACAUUUGAGCAGCAUUGGGCAAUGGUUAGAGCCUAUUUUGGACAAAUGAGUUACCUCCAAUCCAAGAAAGGUCUGUUGCAGUUCAUCAUUUCCUAGACAUCUAUCUAGUCUUUUGAAUAUACAGUCCUCUUCUGAUCUUCCAUUCCAC